rnacentral:rRNA from 1 species
AACGAACGCUGGCGGCAGGCUUAACACAUGCAAGUCGAACGCCCCGCAAGGGGAGUGGCAGACGGGUGAGUAACACGUGGGAACAUGCCCAAAGGUACGGAACAACUCCGGGAAACUGGAGCUAAUACCGUAUGUGUCCGUAAGGAGAAAGAUUUAUCGCCUUUGGAUUGGCCCGCGUCGGAUUAGCUAGUUGGUGGGGUAAAAGCCUACCAAGGAGACGAUCCGUAGCUGGUUUGAGAGAACGACCAGCGACACCGGGACUGAGACACGGCCCAGACUCCUACGGGAGGCAGCAGUGGGGAAUCUUGGACAAUGGGCGCAAGCCUGAUCCAGCCAUGCCGCGUGGAUGAUGAAGGCCUUAGGGUUGUAAAAUCCUUUCGUUGGGGACGAUAAUGACGGUACCCAAAGAAGAAGCUCCGGCUAACUUCGUGCCAGCCGCCGCGGUAAGAC